rnacentral:lncRNA from 1 species
UUUCAAAUGAACGUUGGUACCUCCCUUUUAAUCCUUCGUUCUCUUAGACGAGGAUAUAACGAAAAACAGCUCCUUUGAAACUUCAGUUUGAAUAUACUGAUCAACUGUAGCUUCUGGUGAUGAUAUAGCUUCUGAUGAAAUAUUGCUUCUGAUGGACUUCUGCUUCUGAUGAACUUCUGCUUCUGAUGAUGUCAUCACUUCAGAGGCACUUGAAACUUCAGAAGCACUCAUAGGCUUCAGACGCAGUUUUCUUCAGAUGCUUUAGAUUCCUUUGCUCUCUAUUGUUCUUCCAAGACCUAUUGAAAUUGAUUAACUUUGCCUAUGGUCCUGUACACUUGAACAAAUAUUAGCAAUAACCAAUUGACAAUUUUUAAUACCUUGUUAUCAUCAAAACUCAUUAAGGUUUAUUAUGAAAUACAUCUUUGUUCCAACAGUUACGUCCCUCGUUUUACGUUCCUACACCGGCCAAUCGAACCUACGUAGGAACUCGUUCCUGACUACAUCCCCUGACACUUAUGUUGUUCACAUUGUGUGUUUUUCAACAUGAUACAUAACGUUGUUCAUAUCUGAUGUGCAAUCAGAUUCAGAUUAAGAUUGCCGGAAAACAGCACUAUUAAAGAAAUACGACGAACAUAGACGGUGGGUAAAGCAUUCGGGGUAACACAUUUAAUUGCUUCAUUAAUGGCAAUAUCUCAAUAUCUCCAUCUUCACUCAAGGUAAAUUUUGAAAAAAAACACAGGGUCUUUGUUUGCUCUAUCUUGAAAUUUACGCAUGGCAGACCACGAGUCACCUUUUGCUAUAUGUUAAUCAGUCAAUUCGGUUAUGUGUUUU